GCUCGGGUGGUGGAACGGUAGACACGCCAGACUUAGGAUCUGGUGCCGCAAGGUAUGAGGGUUCGAAUCCCUCUCCGAGCA
rnacentral:tRNA from 1 species